CUACAUAUUUGUUUUUGUUCAUUUGUUUUAUAUAAUUAAGGCCGUUAGUUUUCUCGUUUGAAUUGGAUUUCAUUGUUAUUUCUGAACCUUUUAUAGAUGACAAUGCGAUAUGGACUUUGCUCAUUGUUGAAGGCCGUACGGUGACCUACAGUUGUUAAUUUCUGUGUCCUUUUGUGGACAGUUGUCUCAUUGGGAUUUAUACCACAGCUUCUUUUUUUAUAUGUAUCAUUAUUGAACGCAUACAUAUCGUCAUCUAGG
rnacentral:lncRNA from 1 species